AAUUUACCAGCCAGCGCUGGUGCAUUCGACCUCUGCGCAACGAGAUACAAUUGGUGAGCGCCGCUCUUGUUGGGCUCUGGCCAGCUCUUCGGGCAGCCGGGGGUGUCUGUCGGGAGCCCCCCGGCCGGUUCCCGGGAGGGAUGCACGGGAGGAGUCCCGGGGUCCCGGGGGACUCCUCGGCCGCUCUCCGUGGUGCUGCAGCCGCCGCCCGCGGUGCCUCCUGCGGGAGGGCAGGAUCCCCUUCCCCGGGAGCACGGCCGGCCGUGCCGCUAACUCCUCCCUUCGGAUGCAAGGGCUGCACCGCCACAAGCCAUCCUCUCGCCGCCCCCCUCCUUCUCCUUUCUCCCGUUUCGACAGAGCGAGCGGGCUUGCUCUGCCUGCGCGGCGGCGGCUGCCCACCGCGGACCCCGUGGGCUUGGGGCGGGUGCUUUAAUUUUGGCAGGACCUGCCCGCCGCCCUUCCCGGAUAAACUUGGGCCGGCGCCCCCCGGCACCGCGUUUUGGGGCUGGUGGGCUCCCGGCUGCCUGCGGGGAUGCCCAGCAUCCAAUAAUGCAAUGGCUGGAAGACCACAACGUGUCAGAUUAACUGGGUGGACACAUUGGAUAUUAGCAACAAUUCUGCUGCUGUGGAGUUACCAGAUCAGUGGACAAGGCUUGAUUGUGCUUGGAUAUCUUCUGAGGCAGACUGCAUGGUGUCAGCCAGCAUAGACUCUAGAGGAAUGCAGGAGCUGCAAGUCUAACCUGGUGAAAUCCUUUGCUUCCUUUUGGCUUGCUCAAAUUCCCUUAUUGUAUUUUUGUCUGGUAUUCUUGUCGUGAGCAAGUGCGUGGAUCAGCAGCCAGAUCUUGCCCUCAGCACCUUCUCCCGUGGCCCCAGUGCUGUCACAUUUGGUUGUUCUCUUUUGUUGCUGCCCAUGAGUGCAGCCCUGGUAGGGUCAACUGGGAGCAUAUCCAAACCUGUUACAGCUCAUUGCCCUUGAUACUGCUCGGCAGGAAGGAAUGGAGUGGGACAGCUGUUAGCUUCAUUGCAUUGCAGUAUUCCCCUGAACCAUCACAGCUCAUAAAACCCACUUUCUUUUCUUGCCUUUUAACACAGAAGCUUAGCAUUAAAUUAGGCAGCUAAGGCCCGGUAUUCUUGUGGGCUUUUAAGGAACACUCACUUAAAUAUGCAUUCAUUUUCAGAUGUAUAGGGAAGCCAAAUAUUAGUGCAUAUCGCUACACAGGAAUGUUAGAAGUUAUUGUAAUACUUACUAGUUUAGGAUAUUUGAACUACUUAAUUCAUUUCCUUGCUCAGAAAAUAAAAAAUAAGGAAAGAAUAGAGAAAAAAAAUCU
rnacentral:lncRNA from 1 species